rnacentral:rRNA from 1 species
UCUAAGUAUAACCUGCCAGACAGGGAAACUGCGUACGGCUCAUUACACCAGCCUUAAUUUACUUGACCUUGACAACCUACUUGGAUAACUGUGGUAAUUCUAGAGCUAAUACAUGCACCAAAGCUCCGAUCCUCGCGGAGAGGAGCGCAUUUGUUCGCCACAAAACCAAGCCCCCAUCUGGGCGUCCAGUGCUGAACCCGAACAACUCAGCUGAUCGCACGGUCUUGUACCGGCGACGUGUCUUUCAAGUGUCUGCCUUAUCAACUUUCCAUGGUAGUGUACCUGACUACCAUGGUUGUGACGGGUAACGGAGGAUAAGGGUUCGACUCCGGAGAAGGGGCCUGAGAAAUGGCCACUACGUCUAAGGAUGGCAGCAGGCGCGCAAAUUACCCACUCUCAACGCGAGGAGGUACUGACGAGAAAUAACGAGACCGUUCUCAUACGAGGCCGGUUAUUGGAAUGGGUACAAUUUAAA